UGAUAGGUUGGUUUGUGUUUUGUGGUUGGUGUUGGUAUUGCUUAUGAUUUUCAAGACAUGGUUUCUGUGUGCAGUCCUGGCUGUCCUGGAAUUCACUCUGUAACCCAGGCUGGUCUCAAAUCAAGAGAUCAGCUUGCCCCUGGCAGUGGUGUGCCCGCCUUUAAUCCCUGCACUCCAGAGGCAGACACAGCUGAGUUUUGGGUUCUAGGCCAGCCAGGUCUAGUAAGUGAGUUCUAGGAUAGCUAGGGAUACAAAAAGUAAGACUGUAUGGAGGUUGGGGGAGACCAAUAGAGACCAGAUUCGACAUUUAUUUCCAGAAGAGACCUUUAACUUGAAAGGCUGAUUUUAUGACAAAUUCCGCCUUUCUGAAAAGGAUCAACUUCUCAUUUCGAUCAUGAAGGUCAGCAUCGAUAGUGUCCCAGGAGACAGCAGCAACAGGGUAAAGCAAAUGUCUUGAGGCAAGAUCCUGCAUCCGGGAGCAGGGACCAGCUUCUCUUCAGAAAGGAGCUGUGCACCUGAAAAAUGGAGCCUGAAAACAGAUUUUUCAGGGACAUUAAUGACCUCACAUGGAGAAUUUGAAUUCUCAUGGCAAUGUCUUCCACUCAGGCAGAGGUCAAAGAAGCUUUGAGGAAGCAAGGAGGUUGAGAGCAGAGUUGCACCAGGCCGUUCAGAAAGCACAUCUUGAAGAGAUCUCCUGGCUCUAGAGGAAGUAAGGCAUGGAACCAGAGAUAACCUGGGAACUUGGGAACUUGCUGGUGUUUCAGUCCUCAGAGAGCUGAAGGAAAUAUCUGGGUACCCAGAUGUGGUGGUGGACCCACUGGACUUCCCAAUGCAUGCACCCUGAUUGCAAUUGAUAGCAUAUCAACAUGGAAUCUUCGUAAUUUUUAAUAAAUAUAUUGGCUCAUUUA
rnacentral:sRNA from 1 species